GCAUAUCAAUAAGCGGAGGAAAAGAAACUAACAAGGAUUCCCCUAGUAACGGCGAGUGAAGAGGGAAGAGCUCAAAUUUUAAAUCUAUCAUGUUGUACAUGAUCGAGUUGUAAUUUGAAGAAGCGUUUUCUCGUACUUUAUGAUCAGUAUAAGUUCUCUUGGAACAGGACAUCAUAGAGGGUGAUAAUCCCGUCUGUUACUGAUUGUGAGGUUCGUUUAUGAUACGCUUUCAAAGAGUCGAGUUGUUUGGGAUUGCAGCUCCAAAUGGGUGGUAAACAUCACCUAAGGCUAAAUAUUUGCGAGAGACCGAUAGCGAACAAGUACCGUGAGGGAAAGAUGAAAAGAACUUUGAAAAGAGCGUUAAAAAGUAUGUGAAAUUGUUGAAAGGGAAACGAUUGAAGUCAGUCGUGCAGUCAUCAAUUCAGCGGUUAACAUUUUAUGUUUCCGUGUAAUUUGGUGUCUGUUGGUUAGCAUCAAUUUUGAUUGUUAUAAAAAGGUUAAGGGGAUGUGGCUCCUUCGGGAGUGUUAUAACCCUUAGCGUAAUGUGACGAUUAGGAUUGAGGUUUGCAACGAAUACCUUUUAGGACAGUUUCACCUGGCCUCUCGUGGAAUUAUAGAUAGUUAAGAGCAUGCUCUUACUGUCUAUGAUUCUACGAAAAGGUUGGAGUGUAAAACUAAUUCGUUAAGGAUGUUGACGUA
rnacentral:rRNA from 1 species